UCGCAACGCCCGAAUAUUUCAUAAAACCACGUUAUUUUUGUACUCACGUCAAACCCUCAAACUGUACAAUUAUCUAAUAUUUACAGUGACUGAAUUAUUUUAUAAUAAUACCUAACUGUUAUAUUUCAAUACUACGUUUUACUCAAUUUUAUUGGUUAACCCAACGAGUAGACCGACAGUCAAUUCCUACCAACAAGUGACUGAUCGAAUAUUCGCGGUAGUAGAAUAAUGUCGUCGAGUAGGUGAUAAUGAUUUGUGAUAAUGAUUAUGAUAUGGCUUGGCGGCUUUGCUAUUUGCGAGAAUGUUCAGAUUCUUUAACUGUCGGUGACGGUGCCGUUUCCCUGACACAAUGUAUGGCCAGACUAAUUUAUUGCUGGGUACACUCUAACUUACAAUAUGUGGCUUUUAAAUUAAGUGACAAAAUUAUUUUCGUUUGAAAUGGAUAAACUACAAAGAACCAUGUAAUAUCAAGGGCUAAAGAUGGAGAAUAUUAAAUCAUCACGAAACUAUAAGUACAAGAUAUUUUAUGUACGAAGUUGAACCACUUAGUUUCAAUGAUAUUAUAAACACCCUACCUAUGGUGUUGUUAUAAGCAAUUCUGCCGAUUGCCCUAAUGAUUAAGCAGCUUUAAAUAAUCUGAAAAAGAAACUGGCAUUCCGUGAAAAAUAUAAUGUUACUGAUGAGAUGGUACUUCCAUUUGAACCUGUGAGUAACUUAUGUUAGAUUUUCAAUAAGAUCUGUAUAUUAUGUAUAAUAAUAUUUAAAAACUAUAAUAAUGUUUAGAAGUAAUUUUUAUUAGAUACCUAUUAUUGAAUCCCAAAUUUUGGAAACUAAUGUGCAGUAACAAGUACAAAAGUCAAAAUGAUGUAGAAAAUUACAAAUUGAUACUUAUAGUAGGAUAAUAGAAAUGACAAAAAGUGCAAGAUGUUAAAAAAUCUUUACAAAAAUAACUUACAGACUCAGAAGAAGCUGUUAAUUAUUAUGAACCCGAAAAAGUUGGCAUUAAAGAGCAUGAAUACUUACCAUGAGAAAGUUAGGAAAAACUUUAUGUCUUGAUUACUGGCUACACGAAUAUGCUUGUUUUGAAUUUAUGGAUUAGGAACAAUAUUGCCAUGAGACGAAUAUUGAUUGAUUGAGUCUCUAUCAGAUUUCACAAAUACUAUUUAUUAAUACCCAG